CAGUUUGGAAGAAAGAAGAUGCAAAAGAGGAUCCUGGGUUGGCUGAAACCAGUGCCACCACCAUUUAACUAAUGUCUGCCCUGGGCCAGAUAACCAUCACUGACUAGGCCCCUGGGAUAUCGUCUGUGCUCUUCCUCGCUCUGCUCUGUGCCCUGGGACUUGAUCAAUCUACAUCAUGGAGCAUGAAGCUCCCUAGACCUUUGGUUCUGGUUAGAAACAGAACAAGGGAUCUAGAGUACUUCACCUCCUUGGUCUUACUCUGCCCAUGGGUGCCUUUCCGGUUCUCUAACAAAAUGAAGAAACAGUCUGAAAACUAGGAAACCUGGACCCUAAUAUGCCAGUCUCAUCGAUGACCUAUGCAAAGUCAGCACAUGCUGGGUUCCAUGUCUUCAUCUGAAAACUAAGAAAAUUGGAGCAUCAUCUUGUACUGUCGUACCGUUCUGGGACUUGGCUAACUCAUCAACGUCUCACAAGAUGGUUAUUCUGAAAAGGUCAGCACUGUGCCAACCCUCCCACAGCCUCUUCUUAGGGGAUCCACCCUACCCACAUUUUCUACUGAAGGGACAGGCCCAGGAAGCCACGUGUGGUACCAAGUGCUCCACCUUCACUGUUAACAGAUUAUUGGCCCUCACUGAGGAACCCAAGCCAAUGGCAGGCAACCCACAGGCUGGUCAAAGAGUUACAACCCACAGUGAGAAAUAGGCUAGACCAGACUCAGUCUUAGGACACUGAACUUGAAACACAAACUGCCAUCCAUUAGUUCCAGGACCAGCAGAGGAUGUGCUGUUUUGCCUAAUCACAGAAGUUAAAAAACAAAACAAAAAACAAACAAACCCCAUAAGCUGCACCUUCUGAAGGCCUGGAAGCCCCUUGGAAUCUGGAACCACCUCUAAGUUCUGGUAUCCUGAGGUCAAGAUUUAACGUUAACCCCUGCUCUUAGGUUUCCAUGAAUAUGGCUUUAUCAUUAAAAAAAAUAGCAUGAUAUAACAUAAGGCAAAACCUGUUGUCUUGGACAGAUUCUUGUACUUUGCAAGAAAACAAGCCCUGUUAAACCCAUGGGAAAUUAAAGCCUACUGCCAACUGAACUGCUGGGCCAGAGGGCCUUCUGGAGAAAGCAACAGAAGUGAGCAGAAGUGAGACAGACCGGCAAUGUCCUAACCAUCACUAGGAAGACAAUAGGGACCAAAAAAAAAGAAAGAGAGAAAAAGACAAAAGGAACUGAAAGCCUUUCGAGAUGAUUUGGAAAGAUCACGUGUGCACUUCCCUGUUCAGUGUGCAGCAACUGUGAGCCAGCCAUGAUUGGAGAGGGUGUGGCCUUACUGAGGCGUCUCUCAUGAAUGAACUCCCACACACUAACGACCACCCUCAACUAGAUCAUGACGGCCUGCUGAUUAUGAUAUGCCAGAUGCACAGGAGCCACAAGUGAUGGAAGCAAAUUCACAAGAAAACAAAAUCCUAUUCAAAGCGUUCUCAGAAACAGGUGCUAGAUGGGGGUGUCUCUGGGGCUCUGGUUUUUGUUUCCAUUCAGCUUUGGAGAAAGAUGAUGCUACUCUAUUUUAAAAUGUAUGUCCCUAUACUGUGCAUUCUGAGUGUGACUAA